rnacentral:tRNA from 1 species
GGGCCCGUAGUCUAGCGGUUAGGAUGCCCGCCUCACGCGCGGGAGAUCCCGGGUUCAAAUCCCGGCGGGCCCA